rnacentral:rRNA from 1 species
ACACGCAUGACACACUGCAUAUCAAUAAGCGGAGGAAAAGAAACUAACAAGGAUUCCCUUAGUAACGGCGAGUGAAGCGGGAAGAGCUCAAAUUUGAAAUCUUCAAGGUUUUACCUUGACGAAUUGUAGUUUAAAGAAGUGUUUUCUGUUGAAGUUUUGGUAAAAGUUCUUUGGAAUAGGACAUCAUAGAGGGUGAGAAUCCCGUAUUUGGUCAUUCUUCCUAGCGUUGUGAUACACUUUCAACGAGUCGGAUUGUUUGGGAAUGCAGUCCAAAAUGGGUGGUAAAUUUCAUCUAAAGCUAAAUAUUGGCGAGAGACCGAUAGCGAACAAGUACCGUGAGGGAAAGAUGAAAAGAACUUUGAAAAGAGAGUUAAACAGUACGUGAAAUUGUCAAAAGGGAAGCGUUUGACACCAGUGUUGUUUUUCCGAAAAUCAAUUACGAAUGUUUUGUUUUUGAGGAGUUAUGACUUCAUCGGCUUGCUUCUCUCUUUACGAAACUUUCUUAAUGCACUUUUCGGUUAACAAGUCAACAUCAAUUUCUUUUGUUGUAAAAGGGUAUGAGGAAGGUGGCUUUCUUUUCGGAGAAAGUGUUUAUAGCCUUGUAGCCUCUACAACUCGGAGAGACUGAGGUCUGCAGCGUAGACUCUUCGGGGUUAGAUACAGUUUGUGCUAAGCUAUAGCUUUUCAUAGACAACUUGUUGACUAUAGUUUAGUCUUGUAGCUUACUCGCUGAUGCUAUUUUACCUACGCUUAGGAUGUUGAGCGCAUGUCUCUCUCU